AUACGGAGGGGACAAGCGUUAUUUGGAAUCACUGGGCGUAAAGGACGCGUAGGCGGGUUAUUAAGUCGGGUGUGAAAUCCAGUGGCUCAACCAUUGAACUGCAUUCGAAACUGAUAACCUAGAGUAUGGAAGGGGCAGGUGGAAUUAGUGGUGUAGGGGUAAAAUCCGUAGAUAUCACUAGGAAUACCGAAAGCGAAGGCGACCUGCUGGGACAUUACUGACGCUGAGGCGUGAAAGCGUGGGUAGCGAACGGGAUUAGAAACCCCGGUAGUCA
rnacentral:rRNA from 1 species